rnacentral:rRNA from 1 species
CAUGUGAGCCAUGUGCCAAGAAAAGCCGCUAUAGAUCAUACCGUACCCGUACCGUAAACCGACACAGGUAGAUGAGGAGAGAAUCCUAAGGCCGACGGGAGAAGCAUUGUUAAGGAACUCGGCAAAAUGACCCCGUAACUUCGGGAGAAGGGGUGCCCACGCGAGUGGGCCGCAGAGAAUAGGCUCAAGCAACUGUUUAGCAAAAACACAGGUCUAUGCGAAACCGAAAGGUGAGGUAUAUGGGCUGACGCCUGCCCGGUGCUGGAAGGUUAAGAGGAGGAGUCAGGCAACGAAGCUCCGAAUUUAAGCCCCAGUAAACGGCGGCCGUAACGAUAACGGUCCUAAGGUAGCGAAAUUCCUUGUCGGGUAAGUUCCGACCCGCACGAAAGGCGUAAUGAUUUGAGCACUGUCUCGACAAUGCACCCGGUGAAAUUGAAGUACCAGUGAAGAUGCUGGUUACCUGCGCCAGGACGGAAAGACCCCAUGGAGCUUUACUCCAGUUUGAUACUGGGAUUCGAUACUGAAUGUACAGGAUAGGUGGGAGGCUGAGAAGCGUGGACGCCAGUCUGCGGUGAGCCGCUGUUGGGAUACCACCCUUUGAGUAUUGGAUUUCUAACCUGCGCCCGUGACCCGGGCGGGGGACAAUGUCUGACGGGGAGUUUGACUGGGGCGGUCGCCUCCGAAAGGGUAUCGGAGGCGCUCAAAGGUUCCCUCAGAAUGGUUGGAAACCAUUCGCAGAGUGCAAAGGCAGAAGGGAGCUUGACUGUGACACCGACGGGUGGAGCAGGUACGAAAGUAGGACUUAGUGAUCCGGUGGUAUGAAAGUGGGAUUGCCAUCGCUCAACGGAUAAAAGCUACCCUGGGAUAACAGGCUUAUCACUCCCAAGAGUUCACAUCGACGGAGUGGUUUGGCACCUCGAUGUCGGCUCAUCGCAUCCUGGGGCUGUAGCAGGUCCCAAGGGUUGGGCUGUUCGCCCAUUAAAGCGGUACGCGUGCUGGGUUCAGAACGUCGUGAGACAGUUCGGUCCCUAUCCGGCGCAGGCGUAGGAUAUUUGAGAGGAGCUGUCCUUAGUACGAGAGGACCGGGAUGGACAGACCGCUGGUGUAUCUGUUGGUGACCAACACCAUGGCAGAGUAGCCAAGUCUGGCAGGGAUAAACGCUGAAGGCAUCUAAGCGUGAAGCCCCCCUCAAGAUGAGAUAUCCCAAUAAGUAAGACCCCUUAGAGAGUAUGAGGUAGAUAGGCUUAAGGUGUAAGCAUAGUAAUAUGUUCAGCUGAUAAGUACUAAUAGGUCGAGGGCUUACCAA